GUUUGUCACAUUUGCAGAGUAAACUGGAUGCCGUUUUUGCUUAGAGUCGAUUAAUUUUUACGCUUUUACAAACAGUAUUUUGACAGCCCAUAAUAUGAGUAGAAACACGAGGAGUGCAGAAUGAACCACAAACACUGGCCUUAUUCUGUCACGAUGGACCUUCAGACAACUUCAGAAAAGGGCCAAAGGAUUCUGAUUUUCCAGGCUUUUUUCACAUGCCUUUUCCUGAGUUCUUCUGAGGAUAUCUUUGGGAUGCAACGUCGAUCAAGCCAAGGUUUUCUCUAUACGCUAUGGAUAGUGCAUGCUCGAAUGGCCAACUGAAAAUGGCACCAAGAUUCCUGAAUGGCUGCAGCACUAGAUCAACUGUAUAAUGUGCGAGUGAGUUUGGUCAUUUGUACAAGCUGAACAAAGAUCUUGGCACAACGGCCAGUUGUUAAUGACUGGAUGCCGGUCUCAAGGGAAGACUCGGCUCUGCGGGCGGACUUGGUGGAAAACAUCCUCGGGACCGUGGGCCAGCGAACCUCAAAGAGACAGCUAACACGGCCUGAAGUACAUCUACAGAGCCAGGAACACAACGCUGGUCAUGUCUGAGAGAUCUGCUCUCACCCCAGGAUCUAAUUACUUACUUCUAUCUCCCCCAUCAUCUAGCGCUUCCUCCGGGAGAAACCCCAUGGGUCUCUUCAGCCCGGCCCCUCGCAUAACACACUGACAUGGGGAAACAUCUCACCCGCUGUCCAUGACAACAGCUGUUAUCCAUAGGACAGCAUCUUAUUAAUUCAGAGAUAUGAUAACAGAUAUUUUGUUUGAAGUGAAAAUAACAUCAGAAAAAUAAAGUCUAACUUACUUUAAGCCAUGUUUGCCACAAAUGCAGUUUGCAUAGAAAUGUAAAUAACACAUCAAGUAAAAUGUAAGCACCCAAAGAUGUGUAUG